CCUACGGGAGGCUGCAGUGGGGAAUAUUGCACAAUGGGGGAAACCCUGAUGCAGCGACGCCGCGUGAGUGAAGAAGUAAUUCGUUAUGUAAAGCUCUAUCAGCAGGGGAGAAAAUGACGGUACCUGAGUAAGAAGCACCGGCUAACUACAUGCCAGCAGCCGCAGUAAUACGUAGGGGGCAAGCGUUAUCCGGAUUUACUGGGUGUAAAGGGAGCGUAGACGGCAGUGCAAGUCUGGAGUGAAAGGCGGGGGCUCAACCCCCGGACUGCUCUGGAAACUGUACGGCUGGAGUGCAGGAGAGGUAAGUGGAAUGCCCAGUGUAGCGGUGAAAUGCGUAGAUAUCAGGAGGAACACCAGUGGCGAAGGCGGCUUACUGG
rnacentral:rRNA from 1 species